rnacentral:rRNA from 1 species
CCUACGGGAGGCAGCAGUGGGGAAUUUUGCGCAAUGCUCGUAAGAGUGACGCAGCGACGCCGCGUGAGUGAAGAAGGUUUUCGGAUUGUAAAGCUCUUUCGGAUGUGACGAUGAUGACGGUAGCAUCUAAAGAAGCCCCGGCUAACUUCGUGCCAGCAGCCGCGGUAAUACGAAGGGGGCAAGCGUUGUUCGGAAUUACUGGGCGUAAAGGGAGUGUAGGCGGUUUAGUAAGAUAGUGGUGAAAUCCCAGAGCUUAACUUUGGAAUUGCCAUUAUAACUAUUAGACUAGAAUUACAGAGAGGAUAGUGGAAUACCCAGUGUAGAGGUGAAAUUCGUAGAUAUUGGGUAGAACACCAGUGGCGAAGGCGACUAUCUGGCUGUACAUUGACGCUGAGGCUCGAAAGCAUGGGGAUCAAACAGGAUUAGAUACCCUGGUAGUC